UACGGGGGGGGCAAGCGUUGUUCGGAAUUACUGGGCGUAAAGGGCUCGUAGGCGGCCUACUAAGUCAGACGUGAAAUCCCUCGGCUUAACCGGGGAACUGCGUCUGAUACUGGAUGGCUUGAGUUCGGGAGAGGGAUGCGGAAUUCCAGGUGUAGCGGUGAAAUGCGUAGAUAUCUGGAGGAACACCGGUGGCGAAGGCGGCAUCCUGGACCGACACUGACACUGAGGAGCGAAAGCCAGGGGAGCAAACGGG
rnacentral:rRNA from 1 species